AACGAACGCUGGCGGCAGGCCUAAUACAUGCAAGUCGAACGCUCGUAGCAAUACGAGAGUGGCAGACGGGUGAGUAACACGUGGGAACCUUCCCUAUGGUUCGGAAUAGCUCAGGGAAACUUGAGGUAAUACCGGAUAAGCCCUUACGGGGAAANAUUUAUCGCCAUUGGAUGGGCCCGCGUCGGAUUAGCUAGGUUGGUGGGGUAACGGCCUACCAAGGCGACGAUCCGUAGCUGGUCUGAGAGGAUGAUCAGCCACACUGGGACUGAGACACGGCCCAGACUCCUACGGGAGGCAGCAGU
rnacentral:rRNA from 1 species